AGCGCCAGGCUGUGUGCGGGCCGCAUUCGCUCGCUUCACCUGCGCAGGAGGAACAACGGCCCGGUGUCUGCGCUGUAGGCUCCACACCAACCCGCCUCCAACCGGUCAGAUCACCGAGAACACAAGACGUUGCAUUGACUAUGGUGCGUCUUCGUGUGGUGUUGGCCCCUAUGCACCCAAGAUGACAAAGUUGUACAGGGCACACACUGCUUCAUGUGAGCAAGACAUGAAAACCCUGUUAGGGCAUCUUGAUGAUCAGACCACCGGAAUGCAUGCCCAAAGGAAAUCUGCUGCUCUUAAAGGUCGGCCAUUGGUCAUGUGGGAGGACUCUCAAAAGUUCCUGAGAACAUGUUUGGUGAGUUAUCAUUUGUGCUUCACAGCUAGAAGGUUCUGGGUUUGAUUCCCACCAGGACGGGGCCUUUCU
ensembl:lncRNA